rnacentral:rRNA from 1 species
UCACCCGGUCAUAGUAGGCGGGAAAACACCCGGACUCAUCUCGAACCCGGAAGUUAAGCCGCCUACGUUGGUAUGGCCGUGGAUUCCGAGAGGAUCCGCAGCCCUGCCAAACCGGGAUGG